GCCUGGGUGGCUCAGUCGGUUGGGCAUCUGACUUCGGUUCAGGUCAUGAUCUCACAGUCCGUGGGUUCGAGCCCCACGUCGGGCU
rfam:Felis catus isolate Cinnamon breed Abyssinian chromosome B4, whole genome shotgun sequence.